rnacentral:sRNA from 1 species
AAUUAAGGAACACAGCCAAAGUACGCCGCGUCCUGCGGCAAUGUCUGCGUGACCCACAUCCUGUGGG